ensembl:lncRNA
UUUUUUUUUUUUUUUUUUUUUUUGAGACAGUCUCCCUUUGUCGCCCAGGCUGGAGUGCAGUGGUACCAUCUAGGCUCACUGCAACCUCCACCUCUCGGGUUCGGCUAUUCUCAUGCCUCAGUCUCGUGAGCAGGAGGAUCGCUUGAACCCUGGAGGCGGAGGUUGCGGUAAGCCAAGAUCACGCCAUCGCACUCCAGCCUGGGAAACAAGGGCGAAACUUCGUCCUUAAAAAAAAUAAUAAUAAUAAAAUAAAUCAGAAAAUAGGUAUUACUUCCCCACUCAAAACCACCCUCAAGGUAGCGGUUCGUGCAAAAGUAACUGCUGUUUUUUGUUGUUGUUAAGACCAAAACCGCAAUUACUUCUGCACCAUCCUAAUAGAUCUGAUGAAACCAGGAGAAUGGAAGCUAGGAAAGGUGUGGCUCACAAGCAAUGGGAGAAGUGUGCUUUUAAGGACAAUGGAGUGCCCAGCCUCUGGGUUCUGCCCAUGGAGCACCACCCACAGCCAGGUCCCUGCCUGUACAGACAGGAAGGAAAACGGGGCCACUUCACAGGGUGCUACAGGCCUCUCAGAAAGGGGCUCAGGUAAGGGAAGGCUUUCCAACGAAGCAGCCUGAAGGGCAAGGAGUAAUUCGCAUUUUUGUUUUAGUUCUUGGAGAGGUUUGGUUUCAAGGCAGACAGACACAUUAAAAACCGUAAAACUGCCUUAGGCUUAAGGGUGGGGCAGGGGGUCACACGCUGGACACACAAACCCCUAAUGACAGAGGUGUGUGUACUUCUGAAACCCAGAAAAUGACAUUCCUAAGGGCUUUACUGCGGAUUCAUUGGGGAUUAAAAAGAAGCUCCCAUCGAGGCCCCCUCCUGCUCGAAUGACAUUUAACACCAAGAGUAAGCUGACUGAUGUGGAUUAUUAGAAGUGUAUUCAAAGUCAAUGUUAAAAAGUUACAGACCAUUUCAAUUCUCUUCAAAACGCAGCACUGACUUAUAAUGGAAUUUUCGAUGUGACUCCACUAAUCCUGUUACCACGUUAGAACACAGAAAUAGAAUUUGUUCCCUUGGCGUUCACUGGUUGCUAUAGAAAUAGCAUCAAAAUGCAUUAUACUUUCAGGUGAAGAAAUGCAUCAUGGAUGCUGAAAAAGAAAAACUGUCAUCAAAUCCAGUACAAACUCAAAUCACUCCUUUAAUAAUAAAUGGGUGCAAGUAUACACCCAGAAUACCACCCAAACAGACGUGUUCCAGCCCUAGGGAAGCAAUUUCAUUCAUUUCAACAUACAGAACAACAACCCACAGAAAGAUGCUCUAGGCAAACAGCUAAUCUGGCCAGGCUGGGACUCCGCCUCAGACGGUAGAGCUCACAACACAUACACCCGUUUCUCACUCUAAGCCUGCAGUUUACAUGUUUCCAUUGUGUUCCAUUCUCAUACCCAUAUGUAUGAAAACCUAAGUGUAGCCCCAUCUUCCCCCAUAAACACAGGCUCCCUCAUGAGUUGGGUUUGCUAUCUCUAGGGGAUGAUACACAGGCUAUCCUAAAUUUGAUUUCAACCCAAGGAAACAUUUGAGAGGUUUAAUAAGCGUUCUUCAUAAAUGAAAAAAUAAAAAAAGUCUAUUACAUUAAAGAGGCAGAUGGUAUUUUUUUUUACUGGUCCCAAAUGGAAAGAAGUGGGUAUCAUGGCACUUCAGACCCUGCAAAACUCCUAAGUCAACGGGUUAUGGUAACUGUAACCUGACCAAUGCUUAUCACCCAGCACACCACCACCCCCAUCCUGUUCCUAAAAUAUGUCUACUGGGCCUGCUCCUGACUUGCUAUGCCCGGCUCCUGGAGUGGGCCUAUAAGGAGAUGGUGUUAAGGUAAAGAACAGACUGCAAAUCAGUUCCUGGUUGAGGCUAGCCAAGCAGCAGGUGCCUGGGGAUGACUCAGUAUCUCCAUCAUUUGAAGUGUUCCUGGUUUAGGUGAAAAUACUGGGAGUUCUGACUCAUCCUACUACAUAUCUUGGGAGACUGUGGGCUCAGGAGAUUCAACACAAAGACAACUGCCCUCGUGGGUUCACAGGGACAGAUAGACAAUCAAGAAUGAAAAUAAAAACUAAAAUUAGGAGAUGGUAAACCCUACAGAAAAAAGAAGUGUAGGCAGCAGAUGGGAUGGCACUUUUAAAAUUCCUACUCCUAAUGACUUUCACAAGUGAGGCUCUGUGGUUCCUAAUCUCUUCUCAUUGCCUCCAUAUUAUGCAUUAAACAGGGUAACAGGCCGGGCGCGGUGGCUCACAUCAGUAAUUUCAGCACUUUGGGAGGCCAAGACAGCCGGAUCACGAGGUUGGGAGAUCGAGACCACCCUGGCUAACACGGUGAAACCCCGUCUCUACUAAAAAUACAAAAAUUAGCCGGGUGUGGUGGCGGGUGCCUGUAGUCCCGGCUAAUCGGGAGGCUGAGGCAGGAGAAUGGCGCGAACCCGGGAGGCAGAGCUUGCAGUGAGUGGAGAUCGCGCCACUGCCCUCCAGCCUGGGCGACAGAGCGAAACUCCGUCUCAAAAAAAAAAAAAAAAAAAAAAAAA